rnacentral:rRNA from 1 species
GACGAACGCUGGCGGCGUGCCUAAUACAUGCAAGUCGAGCGGACAGAUGGGAGCUUGCUCCCUGAAGUCAGCGGCGGACGGGUGAGUAACACGUGGGCAACCUGCCUGUAAGACUGGGAUAACUUCGGGAAACCGGAGCUAAUACCGGAUACGUUCUUUCCUCGCAUGAGGAAAGAUGGAAAGAUGGUUUCGGCUAUCACUUACAGAUGGGCCCGCGGCGCAUUAGCUAGUUGGUGGGGUAAUGGCCCACCAAGGCGACGAUGCGUAGCCGACCUGAGAGGGUGAUCGGCCACACUGGGACUGAGACACGGCCCAGACUCCUACGGGAGGCAGCAGUAGGGAAUCUUCCGCAAUGGACGAAAGUCUGACGGGGCAACGCCGCGUGAGCGAAGAAGGCCUUCGGGUCGUAAAGCUCUGUUGUCAGGGAAGAACAAGUGCCAGAGUAACUGCUGGCACCUUGACGGUACCUGACCAGAAAGCCACGGCUAACUACGUGCCAGCAGCCGCCGUAAAAC